rnacentral:tRNA from 1 species
GCCGGGGUGGUGAAAUUGGUAUACACGCAGGUUUUAGGAACCUGUGCAGCAAUGCGUGGAGGUUCAAGUCCUCUCCCCGGCA